GAUGAACGCUGGCGGCGUGCCUAACACAUGCAAGUCGAGCGGAGAUAAGAGGAGUACUUGUACGAAUUUUAUCUUAGCGGCGGACGGGUGAGUAACACGUGAGUAACCUGCCUUUUACUGGGGAAUAACAUCGAGAAAUCGGUGCUAAUACCGCAUAAUGUCACGAGGCUGCAUGGCCAUGUGACCAAAGGAGCAAUUCGGUAAAAGAUGGACUCGCGUCCGAUUAGGUAGUUGGUGAGGUAACGGCCCACCAAGCCUACGAUCGGUAGCCGAACUGAGAGGUUGAUCGGCAACAUUGGGACUGAGACACGGCCCAGACUCCUACGGGAGGCAGCAGUGGGGAAUAUUGGGCAAUGGGGGAAACCCUGACCCAGCAACGCCGCGUGAAGGAUGAAGGUCUUCGGAUUGUAAACUUCUUUGAUCAGGGACGAAGAAAUGACGGUACCUGAAGAACAAGCCACGGCUAACUUCGUGCCAGCAGCCGCAGUAA
rnacentral:rRNA from 1 species